rnacentral:rRNA from 1 species
AGAUUGAACGCUGGCGGCAGGCCUAACACGUGCAAGUCGAGCGGUAGAGAGGUGCUUGCAUCUCUUGAGAGCGGCGGACGGGUGAGUAAUGCCUAGGAAUCUGCCUAGUGGUGGGGGAUAACGUUCGGAAACGGACGCUAAUACCGCAUACGUCCUACGGGAGAAAGCGGGGGACCUUCGGGCCUCGCGCCAUUAGAUGAGCCUAGGUCGGAUUAGCUAGUUGGUGAGGUAUGGCUCACCAAGGCGACGAUCCGUAACUGGUCUGAGAGGAUGAUCAGUCACACUGGAACUGAGACACGGUCCAGACUCCUACGGGAGCAGCAGUGGG